rnacentral:rRNA from 1 species
AAUUAAGGUGAAACCGCGAAAGGCUCAUUAAAUCAGUUAUGGUUCCCUUGGAUCGUACCACUUUUACUUGGAUAACUGUGGUAAUUCUAGAGCUAAUACAUGCAAAUAGAGCUCCGACCGGAGACGGAAGGACGCGCUUUUAUUAGAACAAAACCAAUCGGCGGCGGGCGCCUCGCGCGUCCGUCGUCGUACGCAAUGUUGAAUCUGAAUAACUUUUUGCUGAUCGCACGGUCUCGCACCGGCGACGCAUCUUUCAAAUGUCUGCCUUAUCAACUGUCGAUGGUAGGUUCUGCGCCUACCAUGGUCGUAACGGGUAACGGGGAAUCAGGGUUCGAUUCCGGAGAGGGAGCCUGAGAAACGGCUACCACAUCCAAGGAAGGCAGCAGGCGCGCAAAUUACCCACUCCCGGCACGGGGAGGUAGUGACGAAAAAUAACGAUACGGGACUCAUCCGAGGCCCCGUAAUCGGAAUGAGUACAAUCUAAACCCUUUAACGAGGAUCGAUUGGAGGGCAAGUCUGGUGCCAGCAGCUGCGGUAAUUCCAGCUCCAAUAGCGUAUAUUAAAGUUGUUGCGGUUAAAAAGCUCGUAGUCGAAUCUGUGUCCCGCGCCGCCGGUUCAUCGCACGCGGUGUUUAACUGGCGUGUCCGCGGGACGUCCUGCCGGUGGGCCCGUCGUCCGUCUCGUCGACGUCGUCGUUCGCGGCGGCCCGGCGUCGGCGACGGCCCAACUCAAUCCCGCCGCGGUGCUCUUCACUGAGUGUCGAGGUGGGCCGGCACUUUUACUUUGAACAAAUUAGAGUGCUUAAAGCAGGCUAAAACUUUGCCUGAAUACCGUGUGCAUGGAAUAAUGGAAUAGGACCUCGGUUCUAUUUUGUUGGUUUUCGGAACCCCGAGGUAAUGAUUAACAGGAACGGAUGGGGGCAUUCGUAUUGCGACGUUAGAGGUGAAAUUCUUGGAUCGUCGCAAGACGAACAGAAGCGAAAGCAUUUGCCAAAAACGUUUUCAUUGAUCAAGAACGAAAGUUAGAGGUUCGAAGGCGAUCAGAUACCGCCCUAGUUCUAACCAUAAACGAUGCCAGCUAGCGAUCCGCCGAAGUUCCUUCGAUGACUCGGCGGGCAGCUUCCGGGAAACCAAAGCUUUUGGGUUCCGGGGGAAGUAUGGUUGCAAAGCUGAAACUUAAAGGAAUUGACGGAAGGGCACCACCAGGAGUGGAGCCUGCGGCUUAAUUUGACUCAACACGGGAAACCUCACCAGGCCCGGACACCGGAAGGAUUGACAGAUUGAGAGCUCUUUCUUGAUUCGGUGGGUGGUGGUGCAUGGCCGUUCUUAGUUGGUGGAGCGAUUUGUCUGGUUAAUUCCGAUAACGAACGAGACUCUAGCCUGCUAAAUAGGCGUACUUCCGGCAUCUCAAAGGCCCGCCGGUCCGUGGCGUUCGCGUCGCGGCGCCGUGCGCGGUUUUUACUGUCGGCGUACACACAAUUCUUCUUAGAGGGACAGGCGGCUUCUAGCCGCACGAGAUUGAGCAAUAACAGGUCUGUGAUGCCCUUAGAUGUUCUGGGCCGCACGCGCGCUACACUGAAGGAAUCAGCGUGUCCUCCCUGGCCGAGAGGCCCGGGUAACCCGCUGAACCUCCUUCGUGCUAGGGAUUGGGGCUUGCAAUUUUUCCCCAUGAACGAGGAAUUCCCAGUAAGCGCGAGUCAUAAGCUCGCGUUGAUUACGUCCCUGCCCUUUGUACACACCGCCCGUCGC